AAUGAAAUGCCUGAGUUUUAAAGGAUUAUUGUGAUAGAAUAAAUAACGUGAAUUUCACUUUCAUUA
rnacentral:tRNA from 1 species